rnacentral:rRNA from 1 species
UACGUAGGGGGCUAGCGUUGUCCGGAAUCAUUGGGCGAAAGAGCGUGUAGGCGGCCCGGUAAGUCCGCUGUAAAAGUCAAAGGCUCAACCUUUGAAUGUCAGUGGAUACUGCCGGGCUAGAGUCCGGAAGAGGCGAGUGGAACUCCUGGUGUAGCGGUGGAAUGCGCAGAUAUCAGGAAGAACACCAACGGCGAAGGCAGCUCGCUGGGACGGUACUGACGCUGAGACGCGAAAGCGUGGGGAGCGAACAGG